rnacentral:rRNA from 1 species
GACGAACGCUGGCGGCAUGCCUAACACAUGCAAGUCGAGCGAGACCUUCGGGUCUAGUGGCGCACGGGUGCGUAACGCGUGGGAACCUGCACUUAGGUUCGGAAUAACUCCCCGAAAGGGGUGCUAAUACCGCAUAGUGUCUUCGGACCAAAGAUUUAUCGCCGUUGGGUGGGGCCGCGUUGGCUUAGUUAGUUGGUAGGGUAAAAGCCUACCAAGGCGACGAUCCAUGGCUGGUCGGUGAGGAUGCUCCGGCACAAUGGGACUGCGGCACGGCCCACACCCCUACGGGGGGCAGCAGUAGGGAAUAUUAGACGCUGGGCGAAAGUCUGAUCCAGCAGCGCGGCGUGUGAGAUGAAUGCCUUAGGGUUGUAAAGCCCUUUUACCCGGGAUGUUAAUGACAGUACCGGGAGAAUAAGCUCCGGCUAACUCCGUG